rnacentral:rRNA from 1 species
GAUGAACGCUGGCGGCGUGCCUAAUACAUGCAAGUCGAUCGAACAGACUCGGCGCUUUCUCCUCUGACGUUAGCGGCGGACGGGUGAGUAACACGUGGAUAACCUACCUAUAUGACUGGGAUAACUUCGGUAAACUGGAGCUAAUACCGGAUAAUAUAUUGAACCUCUUGGUUCAAUAGUUAACGACGGUUUUGCUGUCUCUUUUAUAUGGUUCUGCGCCGCCUUAGCUAGUUGGUAAGGUAACGGCUUACCAAGGAUACGAUGCGUAGCCGACCUGAGAGGGUGAUCGGCCAGACUGGAAGUGAGACACGGUACAGACACCUACGGGAGGAAGCAGUAGGGAAUCUUACGCAAUGGGCGAAAGCCUGACGGAGCAACACCGCGUAAGGGAUGAAGGUGUUAGGAUCGGAGAAGGCUGUAAUUAGGGAAGAACAAAUGUGUAAGUAAAAAUGAACGUCAUGACGGUACCUAAUCAGAAAGCCACGGCUAACUACGUG